GCGGAUUGAGGUUGUUAUUCCAAGCACCGCCGAGGUCAGAAAGGAAUCAAAAAUUAGGGCCGCUUCAGGGGCAAGUCGAAAGCAGAAUGGUAGCCCUGUUGAAAGAGCAUGCGGAUACCUUCGCCUGGUCGUGUCAAGAUACGUCAGGGUCGGAUACCGGUGUUGUUGUGCACAAGCUACCAUGGAGAGAAGACUGUCCUCUAGAGAAGCAGAACGCCAGUGCCUGUAUCAGAGAGCCAUGGUGACUUUGUU
rnacentral:lncRNA from 1 species